rnacentral:rRNA from 1 species
AAAACAUGUCUUUUUGAAAAUAAUAAAAAGUNUAAUCUGCCCACUGAAUUUAUUUAAAGGGCUGCAGUAUAUUGACUGUACAAAGGUAGCAUAAUCAAUAGUCUUUUAAUUGAAGACUUGUAUGAAUGAUUUGAUGAAAUAUGAACUGUCUCUUUUUUAAAAAUAAAAUUUAAUUUUUUAGUUAAAAAGCUAAAAUAAUUAUAAAAGACGAGAAGACCCUAUAGAGUUUUAUAGUUAUUUAAUUUAAAAAUUUUAUAUAUAAUUUAAAUUUAAAAUUAAUUAAUUAUUUUAUUGGGGUGAUAGAAAAAUUAAAAAAACUUUUUUUAAAAAUUUAACAUUAAUUUAUGAAAUUAUGAUCCAUAAUUUAUGAUUAAAAGAAUCAAUUACCUUAGGGAUAACAGCGUAAUUUUUUUUUUUAGUACAAAUAAGAAAAAGAGUUUGCGACCUCGAUGUUGGAUUAAGAUAAAAUUUAAAUGCAAAAGUUUAAAAUUUUUGAUCUGUUCGAUCAUUAAAAUCUUACAUGAUCUGAG